ACGCUGGCGGCGUGCCUAAUACAUGCAAGUCGAACGGUCUUUCUAUGGAAGCUUGCUUCCACUGAGAAGAUAGUGGCGAACGGGUGAGUAACACGUGGGUAACCUGCCCAUAAGAGGGGGAUAACAUCCGGAAACGGGUGCUAAUACCGCAUAGUUUUUCUUGAUCGCAUGAUUGAGAAAGGAAAGACGGCCUUUGUGCUGUCGCUUAUGGAUGGACCCGCGGCGUAUUAGUUAGUUGGUGAGGUAACGGCUCACCAAGACGAUGAUACGUAGCCGACCUGAGAGGGUGAUCGGCCACAUUGGGACUGAGACACGGCCCAAACUCCUACGGGAGGCAGCAGUAGGGAAUCUUCCGCAAUGGACGAAAGUCUGACGGAGCAACGCCGCGUGAGUGAAGAAGGUUUUUCCGGAUCGUAAAACUCUGUUGUCAGAGAAGAACAAGUUGGAGAGUAACUGCUCCAGCCUUGACGGUAUCUGACCAGAAAGCCACGGCUAACUACGUGCCAGCAGCAGC
rnacentral:rRNA from 1 species